rnacentral:rRNA from 1 species
UGCAUAUCCCAAAAGCGGAGGAAAAGAAACCAACAGGGAUUGCCUCAGUAACGGCGAGUGAAGCGGCAACAGCUCAAAUUUGAAAUCUGGCCUCUUGGGGUCCGAGUUGUAAUUUGUAGAGGAUGUUUCGGGUACCGCCUCGGUUUAAAUUUCUUGGAACAGAAUGUCAAAGAGGGUGAGAAUCCCGUCUUGGACCGGCGGUAGGGCCUAUGUGAAACUCCUUCGACGAGUCGAGUUGUUUGGGAAUGCAGCUCAAAAUGGGUGGUAAAUUUCAUCUAAAGCUAAAUAUUGGCCAGAGACCGAUAGCGCACAAGUAGAGUGAUCGAAAGAUGAAAAGCACUUUGAAAAGAGAGUUAAACAGUAUGUGAAAUUGUUGAAAGGGAAGCGCUUGCAACCAGACUUGAGCGCGGCGGUUCCCCCUUGCUUCUGCUUGGGUUACUCCGCCGUGUCCAGGCCAACAUCGGUUCUGGGGGUCGGUCAAAGGCUCUGGGAAUGUAUCUACCCACGGGUAGACUUAUAGACCAGGGUGUCAUGCGACCUCCCGGGACCGAGGAACGCGCUUCGGCUCGGAUGUUGGCGUAAUGGUUGUCAGCGACCCGUCUUGAACCACGGGACCA